UACGUAGGCAGCGAGCGUUGUUCGGAGUACUGGGCGUAAAGCGUGCGCAGGCGGUGAUGUAAGACAGAUGUGAAAUCCCCGGGCUCAACCUGGGAACUGCAUUUGUGACUGCAUCGCUGGAGUGCGGCAGAGGGGGAUGGAAUUCCGCGUGUAGCAGUGAAAUGCGUAGAGAAUGUGGAGGAAUACCGAUGGCGAAGGCCAGCCUCCUGGGCCAACACUGACGCUCGAUGCACGAAAGCGUGGGGAGCAAACAGG
rnacentral:rRNA from 1 species